UACGUAGGGUGCGAGCGUUAAUCGGAAUUACUGGGCGUAAAGCGUGCGCAGGCGGUUCUCCAAGUCCGUUGUGAAAGCCCCGGGCUCAACCUGGGAAUGGCAGUGGAAACUAGGGGACUGGAAUCUGGCAGAGGGGGGUGGAAUGCCGCGUGUAGCAGUGAAAUGCGUAGAGAUGUGGAGGAACACCGAUGGCGAAGGCAGCCCCCUGGGUCAAGAUUGACGCUCAUGCACGAAAGCGUGGGGAGCAAACAGG
rnacentral:rRNA from 1 species